AGCAGUAUUGAACUGAAGAGUUUGAUCAUGGCUCAGAUUGAACGCUGGUGGCAGGCCUAACACAUGCAAGUCGAGCGGAUGAAGGGAGCUUGCUCCUGGAUUCAGCGGCGGACGGGUGAGUAAUGCCUAGGAAUCUGCCUGGUAGUGGGGGAUAACGUCCGGAAACGGGCGCUAAUACCGC
rnacentral:rRNA from 1 species